CACGGUGGAAUCGAUUAAGGAACAAGUCCGCAACGAGCUCGUAAGUGAAUUUAACGCUUGGGCGAAGCAAAUGAACCUACCGAGCUUGCCUUUCCCCUCGAAUACACCCGUCGACUCAUGUAGUCACCCAAAAGGACAAGGGGAAGAUGAUAUACAUGGAGACGAUGAUGCAAAUGAGGGUGGUACGCCUACACAUGCGGACUCGAGGGAGCUCGAUAAUCCAGCACCUCAUCAUUUUCCAGAUUUACAGGAAGAGACCCGUUGUGCACU